rnacentral:rRNA from 1 species
AUUGAACGCUGGCGGAAUGCUUUACACAUGCAAGUCGAACGGCAGCACGGGGGCAGCCCUGGUGGCGAGUGGCGAACGGGUGAGUAAUACAUCGGAACGUGCCCGGUCGUGGGGGAUAACGUAGCGAAAGUUACGCUAAUACCGCAUACGAUCUGAGGAUGAAAGCGGGGGACCUUCGGGCCUCGCGCGAUCGGAGCGGCCGAUGUCAGAUUAGUUAGUUGGUGGGGUAAAGGCCUACCAAGCCGACGAUCUGUAGCUGGUCUGAGAGGACGACCAGCCACACUGGGACUGAGACACGGCCCAGACUCCUACGGGAGGCAGCAGUGGGGAAUUUUGGACAAUGGGCGCAAGCCUGAUCCAGCCAUUCCGCGUGCAGGACGAAGGCCUUCGGGUUGUAAACUGCUUUUGUACGGAACGAAAAGGCUCUGGCUAAUACCUGGGGCUCAUGACGGUACCGUAAGAAUAAGCACCGGCUAACUACGUG